rnacentral:rRNA from 1 species
GUAAGACUGGGAUAACUCCGGGAAACCGGAGCUAAUACCGGAUAGUUCCUUGAACCGCAUGGUUCAAGGAUGAAAGACGGUUUCGGCUGUCACUUACAGAUGGACCCGCGGCGCAUUAGCUAGUUGGUGGGGUAAUGGCUCACCAAGGCGACGAUGCGUAGCCGACCUGAGAGGGUGAUCGGCCACACUGGGACUGAGACACGGCCCAGACUCCUACGGGAGGCAGCAGUAGGGAAUCUUCCGCAAUGGACGAAAGUCUGACGGAGCAACGCCGCGUGAGUGAUGAAGGUUUUCGGAUCGUAAAGCUCUGUUGUUAGGGAAGAACAAGUGCGAGAGUAACUGCUCGCACCUUGACGGUACCUAACCAGAAAGCCACGGCUAACUACGUGCCAGCAGCCGCGGUAAUACGUAGGUGGCAAGCGUUGUCCGGAAUUAUUGGGCGUAAAGGGCUCGCAGGCGGUUUCUUAAGUCUGAUGUGAAAGCCCCCGGCUCAACCGGGGAGGGUCAUUGGAAACUGGGAAACUUGAGUGCAGAAGAGGAGAGUGGAAUUCCACGUGUAGCGGUGAAAUGCGUAGAGAUGUGGAGGAACACCAGUGGCGAAGGCGACUCUCUGGUCUGUAACUGACGCUGAGGAGCGAAAGCGUGGGGAGCGAACAGGAUUAGAUACCCUGGUAGUCCACGCCGUAAACGAUGAGUGCUAAGUGUUAGGGGGUUUCCGCCCCUUAGUGCUGCAGCUAACGCAUUAAGCACUCCGCCUGGGGAGUACGGUCGCAAGACUGAAACUCAAAGGAAUUGACGGGGGCCCGCACAAGCGGUGGAGCAUGUGGUUUAAUUCGAAGCAACGCGAAGAACCUUACCAGGUCUUGACAUCCUCUGACAACCCUAGAGAUAGGGCUUUCCCUUCGGGGACAGAGUGACAGGUGGUGCAUGGUUGUCGUCAGCUCGUGUCGUGAGAUGUUGGGUUAAGUCCCGCAACGAGCGCAACCCUUGAUCUUAGUUGCCAGCAUUCAGUUGGGCACUCUAAGGUGACUGCCGGUGACAAACCGGAGGAAGGUGGGGAUGACGUCAAAUCAUCAUGCCCCUUAUGACCUGGGCUACACACGUGCUACAAUGGACAGAACAAAGGGCUGCAAGACCGCAAGGUUUAGCCAAUCCCAUAAAUCUGUUCUCAGUUCGGAUCGCAGUC